rnacentral:tRNA from 1 species
GCCGGUGUGAUGGAAUUGGCAGACGUGCUGGACUCAAAAUCCAGUGGUGGCGACACCGUGUCGGUUCGACCCCGACCACCGGCACCA